rnacentral:rRNA from 1 species
UACGUAGGGCGCAAGCGUUGUCCGGAAUUAUUGGGCGUAAAGAGCGUGUAGGCGGUCCGGUAAGUCAGCUGUGAAAGUCAAGGGCUCAACCUUUGAAUGCCGGUUGAUACUGUCGGGCUAGAGUCCGGAAGAGGCGAGCGGAAUUCCCGGUGUAGCGGUGAAAUGCGCAGAUAUCGGGAGGAACACCAGUGGCGAAGGCGGCUUUUUGGUCUGUAACUGACGCUGAGGCGCGAAAGCGUGGGGAGCAAACAGG